rnacentral:rRNA from 1 species
UUUAAAUUGAGAGUUUGAUCCUGGCUCAGGAUGAACGCUGGCGGCGUGCCUAAUACAUGCAAGUCGUACGCUAGCCGCUGAAUUGAUCCUUCGGGUGAAGUGAGGCAAUGACUAGAGUGGCGAACUGGUGAGUAACACGUAAGAAACCUGCCCUUUAGUGGGGGAUAACAUUUGGAAACAGAUGCUAAUACCGCGUAACAACAAAUCACACAUGUGAUCUGUUUGAAAGGUCCUUUUGGAUCGCUAGAGGAUGGUCUUGCGGCGUAUUAGCUUGUUGGUAGGGUAGAAGCCUACCAAGGCAAUGAUGCGUAGCCGAGUUGAGAGACUGGCCGGCCACAUUGGGACUGAGACACUGCCCAAACUCCUACGGGAGGCUGCAGUAGGGAAUUUUCCGCAAUGCACGAAAGUGUGACGGAGCGACGCCGCGUGUGUGAUGAAGGCUUUCGGGUCGUAAAGCACUGUUGUAAGGGAAGAAUAACUGAAUUCAGAGAAAGUUUUCAGCUUGACGGUACCUUACCAGAAAGGGAUGGCUAAAUACGUGCCAGCAGCCGCGGUAAUACGUAUGUCCCGAGCGUUAUCCGGAUUUAUUGGGCGUAAAGCGAGCGCAGACGGUUUAUUAAGUCUGAUGUGAAAUCCCGAGGCCCAACCUCGGAACUGCAUUGGAAACUGAUUUACUUGAGUGCGAUAGAGGCAAGUGGAACUCCAUGUGUAGCGGUGAAAUGCGUAGAUAUGUGGAAGAACAC